rnacentral:rRNA from 1 species
UACGGAGGGUGCAAGCGUUAUCCGGAUUUACUGGGUUUAAAGGGUGCGUAGGUGGGUCUGUAAGUCAGUGGUGAAAUCUCCGAGCUUAACUCGGAAACUGCCAUUGAUACUAUAGGUCUUGAAUUAUCUGGAGGUAAGCGGAAUAUGUCAUGUAGCGGUGAAAUGCCUAGAUAUGACAUAGAACACCAAUUGCGAAGGCAGCUUACUACGGAUCGAUUGACACUGAGGCACGAAAGCGUGGGGAUCAAACAGG